AGAAUGGUUUAUAGUAAUGAACUCUGUACCAGAGGGACACUGUUGAUAAUUAACUCUGUCUUGUUGCUUGCUGGGUUUAUUACCUGCACUGUUUCGUGUGUCCCUGGGUCUGGCAGACCUAACUGUGAGCUGGAUGGGUCAUAGGUCGUCCUGAAAGCUGUCAUCCCAAGAGCCAGAGGGUGGGUAGGCCGUCCUGUGAACCUGAAGUUGGGUAGACUGCCCCGAGAGCCGGAAGCAUACAGAACUUCCUUAGAAUACCGACACUGCUUCUGAGUGUGCAAAGGAGACAGAAUCACUGGUUGUGGACACAGACCACCUCAAGAGAUGUCAUGCUGUUCCAUCGCUAAUAUAAUAGAGAUUGAUGGAUCUACAAAAGGAAACUGGAUCUAUGAUUCUACAAUUAGGAGAAAGAAGACACACAUUUAAGCGGCCACUUGUAGCACCAAGGUUGUGAGAAGAUGCUGAGCAAAGUACAGAACAAACAAUGGCCAAUGACUGAUCAGAUGAAAGGAGACAUCACCAGCUGUAAAGGCAGAAGAAAACGGCAACAACAAAAUGGUCUUGGUCAUUGUGGUCCAACACAUUACUGAAAUCUUAUCACCUAUGCAUCAUCAUUGUCUUGACAAUGAUAGUUCCUCAAGUCCCCCUGUUAUAUAAUACUAUGCACAAGCUGCUACCAAGGUCUGCCAGAAGUGAUUGUUUAGCAAGAAAGACCUCCUCAAGUCAACUAAAACCCUAGCUUGUCAAGUUGUAGCUAUCAACACACUCCUGUACCACAGUGAGGCUUGAAGGGAACUCAUUGACUAAUAAGAGCCCUAGAGAAAUUCCAUCAGCAAUACCUUCAACACUUGCUUUGGACUCAAAAGAAGGAUUAUCAAACAAAUGCCAGUAUCCUUCUUGAAAUUAGCUGCACAAGCAAUCUGGCAAGCUCCUGCAAGAUCAACUUUGGUGGAAUGAAUAUAGGUGACUGAAAAGCAUUUCUCCAUCAGAUCUUGUUUUCUCAGUUCUCAAAUGUCCCGUAUUCUAAUGGAGGAUUAAAAUAAUGUUUCAAAGACACUGCAAAGUUCUCCACAAAGUGUGGCAGCAUUGACAUGAAUGACCAGGAGGAGAUUGAUACUAACUGUUCAAAAUGGUGACAACUUGUCCAUCAAGCUGUAUCAUGCUUUCAGACACAACAUCUGAGUGAAGAAGCUGACUGGUGACAGAGAAGGAAAGAAAAAGAAACAAAUCCUGCAUUUUGGAUCCCAUUACCUUUCGGGACAUUCUGUCAUAUGUUCUCAGUAACAUACAGGUCGAAAAUCAGCCUGUUCUUUCACAUGGAGGCUCAUGGUAAAAACUCAUGGCCCUGAGUUGACCAUUCUUGAUUGAGAGAUAGCUAAUGUUUACCCUAUACAAUAUCCAUCACAGAUGAAGUUCUCAAUUAUCUGGCUCGAGCUACUUGAACAGAGUCCUCAGUAUAAUCCUAUCCUUAUUCAAUGCAUGUGUGCUUUUCACAAAUUUGCGUAAUAGGACAUCCUGUUAGCUUGACCAUCAUGCAUGUCACAAAAUUAGUUAUAAUUUACUGAUAUGGAUUUUUGUGAAAAUAUUUGAGGCCGGAUCAUAUAUUCUUUUCUGGUCAUGUAAACCAUUUCUUCCCCCCACCCCACCAACUCCCAAAUCAAUCUGUCUUUAUUACUUCUUUGAGUAAGGCUGACAAUGUCAAUUCAUACCAGAUUUUGGCGAGUUUACACUAUGUUCAGCAGCACGAAAUGUGUUGCUUUAACUUGAG